rnacentral:lncRNA from 1 species
GUCAUUCUAACAUAAGGAGAAGAUGCAUUUUCCUUUCAAAAAUUGAGGUCUCUUUGGGCAAACUUUCAGUCCUUUGGCUAUUAGGGUUUGUCUUCAUGAAGGCAGACAUAAAGCAAUUCUGUUCUCUUCCUUAUUUGAACACUUUCAGUCUUCACCUGGCUCUCUGCCACCCCAGCUAAACCACUUGACCUCUGAUUACAUAACAGUCCCCAUCUGUGAGCUCAGCCAUCCUCAGGAGAUAGGAGGGGCCAUGAGAAGCUCAAGUUCACCAUGAGCCACAGCAGUAAGCCAUGCUUUAGCCUCUGACCUGUGCUCCAAUUUUGGUACAAUGAUUUCUGCCAUGUUCUCCAACAGGGUGAGGAAACAGACAGCACUAAGAGAAAAAGCUGGAACUCAAAACCAAAUUAACUCCAAACUUAAGUUUUCCCACUUCGACAAGGAUGUAUGUCAUAAAAGUUGGAUGCCUUCCUUUCAAGACAUUUGAAUGGAUCACCAAAUAAUUACCUACUUUUCUCUCACAACUCAGAUAAAUAAUUAAAAGGAGAUAUACACAGAUUGGUUGCAUACUUAAGAGUGAGAAUCAAUUAAAACAAAAUUGUAUGCAUGUUCUUCUAAUAAUAUAUCCCUACAGGGACCAUGAGAUGCUACCUUUACAUUUGUAAAAUUACUGAGGUCAGAUCAGAGCCUUAAUGCUAUUUCUCCAUGAGCAUUCAGAAGUGGUUGUGCAUAGGCGUUAUGUGGAAUUGGGGCUGGGGAAGAUUUAAUUGGCAAUUUUUUAGUUAUUUAGUUUUAGUUAUGCCCCAGAAACCAGAAAUGGUCACUGAAUAUUUAUUGAGCAUGCCUAGAGUGGAAGUUUCUUAUUUAAGUUGGUAUUUAAGUUGGGACUGCAGUAAGGGGCAUCUUUCACAAAGAAACGUUUUGGGAUUACCUUUAAAUAACAUUUAAAUCCCCUUCAUUAAUUGUCUCAGAGCUCUCCGGUGCAACUUAACAAUAGGAAGCAGCUGUGCUCCAAACAAAAGAACACACAGCUCUGGGAAGAUGCCACCAUUUGAGAAAUCACACAUCAUAAGGAAAGGUUGUUACUUCUAAUUUAGUUCUGUGGACCAAUUCAAGUUUGGGGGUUCCAGAAAGCCUGAAACCCUACCUCUCAGGGCUGUGUUUUAAUAUUAGGGAACUGUCUAAUUUGUGCUUCAGGAAGUUCUGUGCAUUUUUACGAAAUCCAUCUCACCGAAGCCUUUUAGUUAAAAGGCUUGCGUAAUUGUGCACACAGAUAAAAACUGCACUCAUGAUAUUACAUAUUUUACUGCAUUCUCCCUUGAAUCUAUCUGCCCAUUAUUAUGGUUAAUUAUGCAGAGGUUUGGUUCUCUAGCUGGAGGGACAGCUAGUUGAGGGUGAGCUAGUUGAGGACCUUUAUUUUUUUCCCUGCACCUAGUUCAGUAGCUGACAUAGAAGGGCUUGGUAAAUGCUGGCUCAAUUAGAUUUUUCAGAACUUUCUCAGACUAAUGUUUGCUUAUCACCGCACACAUGUACAAGAACUACUUGAAACUCUUGAAAAGGAAAUUUAGUCCUUUAAGGGUUCAGAAAUAACAAUGAAAGAUAACAUUCUCACCAAAAAACAAAAAAGCUCAAAACCAGGAAACACUUGAUACAGGAGCUCAUGAGAAUACUUAUUCUCUCAUUUAUUAAACUAAGAAAGUUCUCAGGAUCAUGUUGGCAGUAGACCAUUUCUGGCCCUGAGAUGAAUGCCCUUUUUCCAAGUUAAAACCAUGGCCCAGCUGUGAAAUAAUGAUGGCUGCAAGGAACCCAAUGGUGGCAGCAAACUCAACUCAAAG